CCUACGGGAGGCUGCAGUGGGGAAUAUUGCACAAUGGGCGCAUGCCUGAUGCAGCCAUGCCGCGUGUGUGAAGAAGGCCUUCGGGUUGUAAAGCACUUUCAGCGGGGAGGAAGGCGUUAAGGUUAAUAACCUUGGCGAUUGACGUUACCCGCAGAAGAAGCACCGGCUAACUCCGUGCCAGCAGCCGCGGUAAUACGGAGGGUGCAAGCGUUAAUCGGAAUUACUGGGCGUAAAGCGCACGCAGGCGGUCUGUCAAGUCGGAUGUGAAAUCCCCGGGCUCAACCUGGGAACUGCAUUCGAAACUGGCAGGCUAGAGUCUUGUAGAGGGGGGUAGAAUUCCAGGUGUAGCGGUGAAAUGCGUAGAGAUCUGGAGGAAUACCGGUGGCGAAGGCGGCCCCCUGGACAAAGACUGACGCUCAGGUGCGAAAGCGUGGGGAGCAAACAGGAUUAGAUACCCCGGUAGUC
rnacentral:rRNA from 1 species